UUCAGCGUUGACCAAUCAGGAGCCGGUGCAGUCUGUUAUUGCUCGCUGCACAGAAAGGGAUAUUUUAAGAGCCGAGAGUGAGCCGAAUACUACAGGGAUUAUAUCAAAAGCAAGACUUCGACAUCUGGGGGCGAAGCGUCAAGCUCACGCGGAGCUGCUACAUUCGGCACAGUAUGAGCUGUUUUGAGCCUCUGGUUUGAUGAAUAACGCGCGUGCAGGGACUGCUGAUGUGGCUUUAUAAAUAAGGAGCCAUUAGGCAAUGUGUGUGAGCCAGAGGAAAGAGUCUCAGGUGAAUAGAGGAUUUGUCAGAGAGGUGUGUGAUUGUGUCUGCGUGAAGCAGUUCUCAGGGUCUUUCCUCUAAGAGUGCCCUCAACAGUCAACAACGUCGAAAGUCGCCUACUUUAAGCGAAAAUAUGCGGAAGAGGAGGAUGUUCAGGGAAGCCUACAUGGAUAUUUACAAAAACACCUGAUCCUGCGUGAGGAGCGCAGCUGCAUCCUGCGCCUGUCUCUGCAGAAGCUGCGUUUCCUAGACGACCCUGAGGCUUACCUCCGCCGCUCCGUGCUCAUCAACAACCUGCUACGCAAGAUCCACCUGGACGAAGCCCAGAGGGAGAAAGAGAAACCAAGAGAUGACAAGGAAGAGGAAGAGGAGAUGGAGUGGAGGCGGAAGAGACUGAAGGUGGUGCUCAAGGGGUUCCAGCAGUACAAGCUGCUGCCGUAUUCAUCCUCCCCAGCCUCAUGCAUCUGUGGCCUGGGCAGCUGCCACAUCCUGCCUCCUGAUCAUGGAGCUUCAGUGUUAUUCUACCAUUUGGAUGAUAAAGAAUAAGAUGUCAUCGCGCACAUGCAGGGGAUUUUUCCUACUGUCUACGACUGAUUUCCAGGAGCCAGCAUUAAGGAAUAAGGGGAUUCGGGUUUGUGUGCAUUUGUGCUUGUGCUGGUGAGCGUGAGCUCUGCAGUUUGUGAUGUGACAGGUGCUGUCCAUAUCAGGGUGUUUUUUUUCCAACAUCAUCCUGUUAUCACUGCCUCGCUCUGUUGAUAUGAACUUUGACCACAGACAUUUUGUUUUCAUGAAUUUACUUGAGUGAGCUAUAAUCUUAAGCAUUGUUUUCAGGGAUAAAAAAGGCAAACAAAAAGCCAUGCACCUUGUGGUUGUUAUACUAUGUUGUAAGAAAAAAAAAAAAGAGACAAAAAUUUAAAUUUGAAGCGUCAAAGUCCCAGCUGCUCUUAAGGAUAGAGUGAUUUUACUAAAGCUUUGUCGCUGUGAAAUUGACUUUUUUGUGUAAGUGGCUACUGAUGUCGAGCUAGUAAUGAUUUUUUAAAGACGUUUCCAUAAAACAAAAUAGGAAAAUAUAUGAGGGCAAAUGAGCAGUGAAAAUAAUAUUUCUUUCAAGGCCUUCCGUUUUUUGGUUUUGUUUUGUUUUGUUUAAACAGGGUCUCGCUCUCUGCAAAAAAGGUACAAAUCUGUCACCAUAUCACGCAGACCCUUUCAAAAUGUAAUAUGUUAUUUUAAAGCACUUUUUAAGUACUAAU